rnacentral:tRNA from 1 species
GCACUCGUAGCUCAGCUGGAUAGAGCACCGGUCUACGGAACCGGGGGUCGGAGGUUCGAAUCCUCCCGAGUGCGCCA